UACGGAGAGUGCAAGCGUUAAUCGGAAUUACUGGGCGUAAAGCGUGCGCAGGCGGUUUGUUAAGUCCGUUGUGAAAGCCCCGAGCUCAACUUGGGAAUUGCAGUGGAUACUGGCAGGCUGGAGUACGGUAGAGGAAGGUGGAAUUCCCGGUGUAGCAGUGAAAUGCGUAGAUAUCGGGAGGAACACCAGUGGCGAAGGCGGCCUUCUGGACCAGUACUGACGCUCAUGCACGAAGCGUGGGAGCAAACAGGAUUAGAAACCUACGUAGUCAGAUCCAAGACCAGUCUCGUCGAC
rnacentral:rRNA from 1 species